AACAUGUCUCUCUUAGAAACGCGGGGCAUGAUUGUGCUUUACAAGAAUAUAUUUUUUUUUUACUUAGAAUAAAGUGAAAGUCUGCAGAAAUAGAUUUAAUUAAAUCGUUUAAUUGAAUCGUUCCCCAUUUCUUUGAAGAUUGUUUUUUCCAUUUUUAUCAAACGAUAAUUCUCAACCAUUCAAUUUGCCACAUUCCAUUCGUUUGAUCUACCAUAGAAGAAGUGUUAUAGACGGUUUUGCUCCUAUACUUUCCAAUGUGUCAGCAACCCACGCAAAAAUCGUACGUUACAUAAACAAUUCGCAUUUAUUCGCCGCACCGUUUUGUCGAAGAUUUCAUAAUACACGUUAUACACGAGUUCGUUUACACCCUUCUCUCUCACCGAAGUUACGCCCGUGAGAAAUGAAUGGUGGAGAGCAAGUCGGGCAGACUCAUAUAUCAGAAAUUCCCUUUUGUGCGCGGAAGGAUAGUUCGUCGGCGCUCCUCGCUACCCAUCGAAAUAUUCAAUGGAUACUACUUAGCCUUUGUCUUAAGUUCUGCGCGAAAUCGUGUCGAAUAAUUUUCCUCCGUCGGUCGUCGUGAUAACUGUUUUUAUAUCACAGGCUUGUCACGCGAUAAACGUAAAAACGGAAAUACGUAAUUGCAUUUUAAAAGGAAGUGAAAUUGCAUGUUGCAUGUCUGAGAUUAGAUAUUAUUAAACUGCGUCUUUUUCUAUCGUUAAAGAGACACGAUUCACAGAAGACAGAGAGAGAGAAAGAGAGAGAGAGAGAGAGAGAGAGAGGGGGGGGAUUCACCCUGUGCACUCAAAUAUCUCAGGCGAAUUAUUAAUUUUGCUUUUCAUUUGUUCUCUAUUUAUAUUUAGCUCGUUCCGGUUUAGGUUAAUGAAGGAUACGGGUAUACGCACACAAACGAGAUAUGAAAUAUGGCUCCAGAGAUAGAACGAAUCAAUAACGAAGCCAGAGAUAAAAAUUGACAUUUCAUUGUCAUUUCAGGCAGAAAUAUAGUAAACGUCCGCAAAGUGAUGUCUUCAAUAUUUCCGAUCUAAAUAUUAUCGAUAUCAUCCUCCGAUGUAUUUUUAGUCGUACAAUUACUCGCUCUCGAUCCAAUCGCAAGUAAUAAGCGGACAAAUGAAUGUAAUUUAAAUGGAAGUAACUCGAUCACUUGUCUCGUAUAUCGCGCUUCGACGUCCGGUUUGUUAAUAUUGCUUCGUAUACCUAAUUCGGUGCUUAAUUUGUAUACCGAGUUCGGUUUUGAGUCAAUGCAUUGGUCUUGCCUCCCAAUGUACGCGAAUCCCACGUUCGUGUGACAUAAUACGCGCCCAAGGAAAUUCAGUGCGAGACGAUAUUACCACCACCUAUUCCUUCCAGUUGCAUCCGGAGCAACUGUUUACGAUUAUAACCUCGUGAGCGAAAUUUCGUGCUUAACGAUAGCUCUAAGGACGCGUACGGCAUAACGAGGGAUUUUAGAGCUAGCUAUAAAUGAGAUGCGGUCAUAGUACUGGCUUGUUGCUGAAAUCGCUGAUCGUUGGCAUCGCUCGUAACGUACUUGCGAUAUAGCAGCUGCGCGGACGUAAUCAAUUAUUAACGAUUGGUCCAGUUUAGAAGAAAGCUACUUGUGGAAUGUGCGUUCAUAUAGUGCAUCUUUGCAUGAAAUAUAAUCGUUUAAAAAUAAGCAAAAGGUCAGAGUUAAGUGAAGACUCGCUAAUGUUUAAAAGACAAUAUUAAAUAUUGUCUUUAAAAAAAUAUUAUAGAAUAAUGAGUUGUGUAAGCCGGAGCAAAAGUUAGUGCGCAAAUAAUUCAAAUAACGUUUGCAUUAUACUCAUAAUUAAACAAUCCGAUACAUAAAUAAAAAUCCGAACGUGCCAAUUUACUAAAAUCAUUUUCAACGGAAAUUGAAUAACGCAAAAAUGUAAUAAUUAGCGGAGUGCGAGGAUGUAGCAGCAAAAAAUUGAAUUUCACCCAUUCUAGUUGAUUAGCCAGAUGGAUUAGAAAUUACUUCUUAGCUGUACGUCACAAAAGUUUGCGUGCCAUCAGUGACAAUAGCAUGUAAGUUUAAAUCGAUUUUCGUUAUUCACCUGGAAACUGCUUCAACUCGUACUUCCAUAAUAUAUAACAUAAAAGAAUAAAACUGUAUAAGUACCCGUCAUUGAAAUAAAAUUUGAAUAAAUUGGGUGUAUAAAGAAUAAAUAAAAAGUUGAAACAAGAAAGAUAGAUAGAUAGAUAGAUAGAGAGAGAGAGAGAGAGAGAGAGAGAGUAAAACGAAAACUGUACUGUUCAAACCUAGUCACGAAUUUAAAAACGACGUUUAAAAAUUGUUAUGUCACAAACAACAUAACAUCUUUACAUAAUAACAAAAUAUAAACUUUUCGAGUUAAUCCUAUUCUCGAUAUAAAAUUGAGUUUAGUCUCAUAAAAUUGCCGUGCGACGUACAUCUACACGUGCAUUAAAUAACUUUCAACUUGUAUCGUACCUCAAUUACCACCGAUUCUUUAAAUCCCUCGUCUCAUGGAGGUAAAAGGCGAGGAGAAUUUAAAUGAGCGUGAAAGAGAGGUGAUGGGGAGAGGGGGGGAGGGGUCGGAAUAAAUAUCUCCUAAGAAAAAUAUCCGAGCGAUAAAUUGAUGAUAGAUACAUAUUAUAUAUGGAUUACGUAAACCCCGGUGUAUAUUCCAAGAAUAUUUCGCGAGAAGAGCGAAAGUAAAAAUCAACAUCGUGAACUUGUAAGUGUAACCUGAGUUGAAAACGUAAUUUUUAAUGCUUCUGUCGAGGACUUAGAAACAAGCUUAAUCCUAUCGGUAAAAGGGGUUUUGCGGAACAGGGCGAGCAAGGAUAAAAGCCCAUUACUUAUUUUCAGAAGUUACAGUGAUCCAGCUGUUCGGAAGGCGUUCCUGCGGCCAUUACUAAGCUGAAUUACGGUCGUCUAUCAAACGCAGCGCGCAGCAGUAUAAUUUGCAACUACUUGUGAUAUAAUGCCCCUUGAUAUCAUCAUGUCACUGUAACUUUUAUAUCGAGCAACUUUCGUGCUGUAGUUUCUCCGGUCAGCCAUAAACGUAAAAACGUUUGAUUCUGCGGUUAACGUUCGAAAGAACGCUGUUAAACGUUACUAAAAAUCAGUUUACUGCAUAUAGCAAGGAAUAUGUUAGCUAUAAAAAGCAAAAGAAGCAUAAAAAGCAUAAAACACAAAAUUGGGAAAGAACAACUCAUUAAAAACAUUAUUAAAAGAGUUCGUAAUAAUUAAAAUCGAUAUCUAUUAGUUAUGAAACAAUAUUCGCACGUUUUUGAUAUCUAUGAAAUUGCAAAUUGUUUGAUUGCUUGCAAUUUUGCAAAAUUUAUCUCUGAUUUAUAUAUAUUUUCUAAAAUUAAUUACGACGUUUGCACAAUACAGUUAUACAUGCUAUACGGUAUUAUAUAUCAAUAAUUAAUAUAUAAUACAGUAUUGUUUUAUGACAAAAUGAAGGAAAUGCUAGCAAGAGAAGUUCAAAUCUUUCAUCGGCACACGCACGUCGACAUUUACUCAAAUGCUUAUCUCGACGUCAUUCAAUUAACGUAACUCCAAAGAUCGUCGAAGUAGAUGUUGGCACGUAUUGGCGUGUGCGCAAUUUAUGACUUGUAAGUGGAAAGUUGCAAUCGAUCGAUGUAACAGAAAAUUAAUGGUCACAUGGGAAAUCUCGUAAAUAUACAAUUCGUACUGUUCCAGCAACGAACUCCGCACACCUAUCUGUUUAAUAACUAUAAUACAAAUUCUAUUUAUCGUCCAAAUUAAAACUUCAUGAUUUGCUGUUUUGACAUCCUUGCAAUUUACCAAAUAUAUAAUUCAUUUAAAUAUUUUGCGACAUGAGAAAUACAUAAAAUAUCUAUGGUUUUAGACAGAGGCAAUAAAAAAAAUUUUUUUUUAAUUCUCUAAAAAAAUUCUCUAAAUUGUGAAAAAAAUUAAAAUGUAAUAUAAAAAAUUUUUCUGGUCAAACAUGAAUAAUAAUUCGUUAUUGUUAGCUUCUACAAAAAGUGUGUUGAACAAUGUAAUUAUAUUAUAGUAAAAAAUAAAAAUGCCUUUGUGUAACGCCAUAAUAUUCCCUCCUUUGUCGCUUUAUUCAAUUAAUUUUAGAAAGAAUGUCCUAUGUUUAAUAAAUUCGUUGGCACAAACUGUAGCAUGCCGAUAUACAAACAUCACGCCGAUCAUAUAUUGCAGAUGCCGCAUUUCCAUAAGCAACAUUAUCGAAAAUCCUAUAAUACGUCUAGCUAAUGGAUAUGUAUCAAUCAUGCAUGUGGCGAGGGUGCGCUCUCUCUCUUUUUUUCUCUUUUUUUUUGAAACAUCUACAGCCGCCACAUCGCUAGCCCUCGCUAAAAUAUCGAUCUAAACGUUCACGACUUUGGCCGAGAGGAGUGCGUGCUAAGGACGGACCGACGGAUCGAUUGCUCGUUUCGGGUCACCCAAUUAUCGACGGUAUGGCCCUUCGAUGCAUCAUCAUCAAGGCUUGAUCUUCAGGAAUUUCAAUGUGCAUCAACCUCUCGUUAGGUUUAUCGAUUCAUUAGGAAAAGCGCUGUACUGUUUCGGGGACAACGCAUUUUGUCUUUGCUACAUAGUUUUAGCACAUUUGUAAUCAAGAUAGAAUGUAGCAUGUCUGGGAUACUCUAUAUCUACAUUGUGAAUCGCUGCGGAGUGCAAACUUGGAUACUAAAAAUAAGAUUGGGCGAGGAUCGCGCUGAUGGAAAGCAGCCAGUUAGUGAAGCGAAAAAAAGAGAAAAGAAUAGAGAAAAGGAGAGAAAAUGAAAGAGAAAGAAAGCGGAAGAGAAAAAGAAUGGAGAGCGUAAAAGUAAAACGGAAGAGACAGGAGCAGCGAGGGGAUGAGGUAGCGCGAAAGUGGAUAAGAGAAAAAAAACAAGGGCAGGAGAGAAAGGGCGCAGAUAGAAUGACAGGGGUGAGAGGAAAAAAGGCGAGACUGGAGACGAACGCAAUGGAGACGAGCGAAACGACGACGGAGCGGCUUCGGCAGAGCGCGAGUCUAGGAAGUCAUCCGAGAACAGGAGUGGAAGAAGAGUCGCUCCGAGUUAAAAGGGACGAGGAAAAGCGAAAAGCGAAAAGCGAGGCACACGUAGGAUGGACGGACGCACGCGCGGAACGAGGGAGUAGAGGCUAAAGUGAUAAAGUUUUGCGCGACGGAAAGACCAUUUUUUUCCACGGGGCCUUUUUUGCAUCUCCGAGAACGACGCUACGGCGCACUCUCUUUCUCUCUUCGAGACGGAGGCUCCACCGUAAUUUUUAUUUAUGAGCCUUCAUUAUCACCGGCUACCAAUCUCCCUCGUGUCGGAGGCCGCCAGAACUGCUAGAUCAGAGUCGGAGGACUGCGGCGCGGCGCGGAAGGGCGGCGAGGGGAGGACCAAGUCGGAAAGAAAAGCUCUCUCAAAACAAGUCGUCGGGAAAUCUCUGCCGAGGCUCUUCCGAGAUUUUAUCGCGCCCGAUGGAUACUCGCGCGGCGAACUGUGUGCCGGGACGGAGUACUGCCGGGUAUAACGAGUCGGUAGAUCUUGUGACGCUCACUUCCGCUUACAGUUUGAGUACCCGGCGUAACACUUCCAGAAUCCGCUCCAGAACACCCUGCCGGUAUACUCCGGGCAAUUUUGUAAACUUCAACAAAUUCAAUCCCUGGAAGUUUUAAUGUGUAUCUCGAAUAUACUACGUAAUAAUAAAACGUGUGUCUCGCCCGCGAUAGUGUAACUGCUUGCGCUCACUCGAAACUGUUUCAAAGAAUGUAAUGGAUGAGUUUUUGUUCUUUUAAAAAUAAAUCAUAACGCUCCGAGAAA